rnacentral:lncRNA from 1 species
CUUGAUAUGUUUAAAAAGAUCUUACAAUUUAAUUAUUUUAACUACAGAGAGUAAUAAAUAAACAUAUAUUUAGUGGGGAAAAAAUAAUAAAUAUUAUAUUGAUUCAUAAAAUAAAAAUAAAACCUUUAUUUUGAGACGAGGGAGCAUGAGAAAGAGAGUAUCAAACAAAAUUGCCGAAAACAUUUCAAAUCCCAAAAAAACCAGUCAUCCACAAACUAAGCCUUAAACAAAGUACACAAAAACAGAGCGUUCAUGGUCGUCUCUAAUGUGUUUUUACAAAAUGCAGAAAUUCAGAAAUUUAUUUAGCAAGGGUCAAUGAAAGAUUAUGAAGAAGAAGAAGAAUUAAUCACAGAUUUGAAAUAUUAACAAUUGGAUAAAUAAAAUAAAAUAAAAAACACAUAAAUACGCGAUUCAUUCUUAAUCAACAUAUAUAUAAUUGCAGCUUGGAAACUAGCUAAAAGCUUGAAUUAAAAAGGGAGAAAAGAACAACAAUUGAUAAUUUCAACAAACCCCAAAAAAAAAACAUGGGCAUCAAUUAUCCUUUUACAUAGUUUUGCAUCAAAUUCUAUGAAUUUGAGGCACAUGCACUGAAAUAUAAUCUAUACAACUUGAGGAAUUAUAUAUAUGACAUAAAAAUAUUAUUUUAAAAAAAAAGUAACAUAGAAAAAUGGAUCAAUUCAACGAAGGUAACCAUAAAAAGGGAGAGGAGUACUUGCACGGUUGAGUGGAGCAAGAGGCUCAGUGGUUCUCUCUUGAACAAUAACAACGGUUUCUGCAACCGACACAACAAACUCUAUGGCCAUUCUAACCAUAGUUAUGCACAAUUCAAUUCUAUGAACCACCAUCAGAUCAGAUCUGCUUUUAUUUUUGCUUUAUAAGAAAUUAUUGGUUCAUCUGUAUUUGUAGUGUCUUAUAUAAGAUAAAGAGAUACUAGGAUGCUGUUUCCAAAAAAAAGACCCACUUUCUUUUCAAUAAAAAAAAUAGACCCACUUGGAAUGGAAUAAUUGAAGCCAAACAAGGAGCGCAAAUAUUAUACUAUUUGAGAGAAAAAUCUAAGAAGUUGGUUUGAAGGGUAGUUUCAACUUUUACGCUUCCUUCAUCUCACUGGAUAAGAUGAGAAAAUGAAACUUCAAUUCAUUACGGAUAGGUAACAAAUGGAAAAUAUCAUAAAAUAUUAUGUAACAAAAUAAUGUGUUUGGACUUUGGC